AUCCAACUGACGAGUCCCAAAUAGGACGAAAUGCGC
rnacentral:hammerhead_ribozyme from 1 species